GCCCAGACUCCUACGGGAGGCAGCAGUGGGGAAUAUUGCACAAUGGGGGAAACCCUGAUGCAGCAACGCCGCGUGAGUGAAGAAGUCAUUCGUGAUGUAAAGCUCUAUCGGCAGGGAAGAAGCAAGACGGUACCUGACUAAGAAGCCCCGGCUAACUACGUGCCAGCAGCCGCGGUAAUACGUAGGGGGCGAGCGUUAUCCGGAUUCACUGGGUGUAAAGGGAGCGUAGGCGGGGAUGCAAGUUGGGUGUCAAAACUACCGGCUCAACUGGUAGUCGCACUCAAAACUGCAGCUCUUGAGUGAAGUAGAGGCAGGCGGAAUUCCUAGUGUAGCGGUGAAAUGCGUAGAUAUCAGGAGGAACACCGGCGGCGAAGGCGGCCUGCUGGACCGCGACUGACGUUGAGGCUCGAAAGCGUGGGGAGCGAACAGGAUUAGAUACCCGUGUAUG
rnacentral:rRNA from 1 species